CGAGGCCGAGCGAAUCCCAAAAAUAACGUCCCAGUUCGGAUUGCAGUCUGCAACUCGACUGCAUGAAGCUGGAAUCGCUAGUAAUCGCGAAUCAGAAUGUCGCGGUGAAUACGUUCCCGGGUCUUGUACACACCGCCCGUCACACCAUGGGAGUUGGUAACGCCCGAAGUCAGUGACCCAACCGGAAGGAGGGAGCUGCCGAAGGCGGGACCGGUAACUGGGGUGAAGUCGUAACAAGGUAGC
rnacentral:rRNA from 1 species